rnacentral:rRNA from 1 species
UAAGACGGAGGGUGCUAGCGUUGUUCGGAAUCACUGGGCGUAAAGGGCGCGUAGGCGGCUUCAGGUGUCGGCUGUGAAAGCCCGGGGCUCAACCCCGGAGGUGCAGCCGAAACUCUGGGGCUCGAGGCCGGAAGAGGAGGGUGGAAUACCCAGUGUAGAGGUGAAAUUCGUAGAUAUUGGGUGGAACACCGGUGGCGAAAGCGGCUCUCUGGUCCGGUCCUGACGCUGAGGCGCGAAAGCGUGGGGAGCAAACAGGAUUAGAUACCCUGGUAGUCCACGCCCUAAACGAUGUGGGCUAGACGUCGGGGGGCUUGCCCUUCGGUGUCGCAGCUAACGCGUUAAGCCCACCGCCUGGGGAGUACGGCCGCAAGGUUA